UACGUAGGGGGCGAGCGUUGUCCGGAAUUAUUGGGCGUAACGCGCGCGCAGGCGGUCCCUUAAGUCUGAUGUGAAAGCCCACGGCUCAACCGUGGAGGGUCAUUGGAAACUGGGGGACUUGAGUGCAGAAGAGGAGAGCGGAAUUCCACGUGUAGCGGUGAAAUGCGUAGAGAUGUGGAGGAACACCAGUGGCGAAGGCGGCUCUCUGGUCUGUAACUGACGCUGAUGCGCGAAAGCGUGGGGAGCAAACAGG
rnacentral:rRNA from 1 species